rnacentral:rRNA from 1 species
UACGAAGGGGGCUAGCGUUGCUCGGAAUUACUGGGCGUAAAGGGAGCGUAGGCGGACAUUUAAGUCAGAGGUGAAAUCCCGGAGCUUAACUUCGGAACUGCCUUUGAUACUGGGUGUCUUGAGUGUGAGAGAGGUAUGUGGAACUCCGAGUGUAGAGGUGAAAUUCGUAGAUAUUCGGAAGGAACACCAGUGCGAAGGCGACAUACUGGCUCAUUACUGAACGCU